GUCCUUUUGAAUAUAAUAUAAGGUCGGGCCUGCUCAAUGAUAAUAUUAAAUAGCUGCAGUAUUUUGACUGUACUAAGGUAGCAUAAUCAUUAGUUUCUUAAUUAGGAGCUGGAAUGAAGGGUUUGAUGAAAAAACAACUGUGUCUUUUAUAAGUAUAGAAUUUUAUUUUUAAGUAAAAAAGCUUAAAUGAAAUUAAAAGACGAGAAGACCCUAUAGAGUUUAAUAAUUAAUAGAUUUCUGGAAUUGAAGUUGUAAAUUUACUUUAAUUGAAAUAAUUAUUUGGUUGGGGUGACUAAAAAAUUAGAUAAACUUUUGUUUAUAAAACUUUAAUUUAAGGUUUGUUUGAUCCGUCUUUAGCGAUUAUAAGAAUAAAUUACCUUAGGGAUAACAGCGUAAUCUUUUUUUAGAGUUCAAAUCGAUAAAAAGGAUUGCGA
rnacentral:rRNA from 1 species